UGAACCAGCAACUUGGAGGAACGUAUAGCGAAAGCUAGUUGCAUUUAAUUUAGCGAAAGCUAAACUGGUGCAGAAUUGAUUCUAUCAAAUAAAGUUCUAGACAGGUUAUGAUGAUGACAUUUCCUAUCUAUGUGUCUUGACCAAAUUACGUGCCAGCAGUCGCGGUAACACGUAGAAGACUAGUGUUAUUCAUCUUUAAUAGGUUUAAAGGGUACCUAGACGGUAAAUCCAGUCCAAAAAGGAUACUAAUUUGCUAGAGUUUAAUGUGAGGGGGCACUAAAGUACUGAUAAGUGUAGAGAUGAAAUUCUGUGAUACAAUAUAAGGACAGGUAAAGGCGAAAGCAUCUCAUUAUGUAAUAACUGACGUUGAGGGACGAAGGCUAGGAGAAGCAAAAAGGAUUAGAUACCCAAGUAGUCUUAGCAGAAAAUUAUGAAUGUCAUAGGAUGGAAAUAGUGGAUAACCAUUUUUUUUUCUAUAAAUGAAAGUGUAAGCAUUCCACCUCGAGAGUAAUUUGGCAACAUUGGAACUGAAAUCAUUAGACCGUUUCUGAAACAAGUAGUGAAGUAUGUUGUUUAAUUUGAUGGUCCGCAAAAAACCUUACCACAAUUUGAAUAGAAAUUUUUAUUUUUUACAAGCGCUGCACGGUUGUCUCCAGUUAAUGUCGUGAGAUCUUGGUUAGUUCCAUUAAAUUAACGUAAACCCUUACUUUAUUUAUAUAUAGAGUAGUUCACCGCUAGAUUGGAUGUGAUAACAGGGACUAAGACAAGUCAUCAUGGCCUUAAUAUUGUGGGCUAUAGACGUGCCACAUAUGCCUUACAAAGGGAUG
rnacentral:rRNA from 1 species